ACGAACGCUGGCGGCGUGCCUAACACAUGCAAGUCGAGCGAGGAGAUCCUCGGGAUGAUCCUAGCGGCGGACGGGUGAGUAACACGUGGGCAACCUGCCUCAUAGAGAGGAAUAGCCUUCCGAAAGGGAGAUUAAUACCUCAUAACAUUGCAGUUUCGCAUGGAACAGCAAUUAAAGGAGUAAUCCGCUAUGAGAUGGGCCCGCGGCGCAUUAGCUGGUUGGUGAGGUAACGGCUCACCAAGGCGACGAUGCGUAGCCGACCUGAGAGGGUGAUCGGCCACAUUGGGACUGAGACACGGCCCAGACUCCUACGGGAGGCAGCAGUGGGGAAUAUUGCACAAUGGGGGAAACCCUGAUGCAGCCAACGCCGCGUGAGUGAUGACGGCCUUCGGGUUGUAAAGCUCUGUCUUCAGGGACGAUAAUGACGGUACCUGAGGAGGAAGCCACGGCUAACUACGUGCCAGCAGCUGC
rnacentral:rRNA from 1 species